UACGGGGGGGGCAAGCGUUGUUCGGAAUUACUGGGCGUAAAGGGUUCGUAGGUGGCCAACUAAGUCAGACGUGAAAUCCCUCAGCUUAACUGGGGAACUGCGUCUGAUACUGGUUGGCUUGAAUUCGGGAGAGGGAUGCAGAAUUCCAGGUGUAGCGGUGAAAUGCGUAGAUAUCGGGAAGAACACCUGAGGCGAAGGCGGCUAUCUGGCGGUACAUUGACGCUGAGGCGCGAAAGCGUGGGGAGCAAACAGG
rnacentral:rRNA from 1 species